rnacentral:rRNA from 1 species
GACGAACGCUGGCGGCGUGCCUAAUACAUGCAAGUCGAACGCAGUGGGGACGGGUGAGUAACACGUGGGUAACCUCCCAUCAGAGGGGAUAACACUUGGAAACAGGUGCUAAACCGAUACUGAUGGAUGAACCCGCGGUGCAUUCGCUAGUUGGUGAGGUAACGGCUCACAAAGGCCACGAUGCAUAGCCGACCUGAGAGGGUGAUCGGCCACACUGGGACUGAGACACGGCCCAGAGUCCUACGGGAGGCAGCAGUAGGGAAUCUUAGGCAAUGGACGCAAGCCUGAUACAGCCAUGCAGCGUGUAUGAAGAAGGUAUUCGGGUUGUAAAGUACUUUCAGCGGGGAAGCGUUACCCGCAGAAAAAGCACCGGCUAACUCCGUGCCAGCAGCCGCGGUAAUAC